rnacentral:rRNA from 1 species
GAUGAACGCUGGCGGCGUGCCUAACACAUGCAAGUCGAACGGAGUGCCCAGGAGGAAGUUUUCGGAUGGAAUUCGAAGGCACUUAGUGGCGGACGGGUGAGUAACACGUGGGUAACCUGCCUCAUAGAGGGGGAUAACAGAGAGAAAUCACUGCUAAUACCGCAUAAGCACACACUGCCGCAUGGCAGGGGGUGAAAAGAGAUAUCGCUAUGAGAUGGACCCGCGACUGAUUAGCCGGUUGGUAAGGUAAGGGCUUACCAAAGCAACGAUCAGUAGCCGAUCUGAGAGGAUGAACGGCCACAUUGGGACUGAGACACGGCCCAAACUCCUACGGGAGGCAGCAGUGGGGAAUAUUGGACAAUGGACCGAGAGUCUGAUCCAGCAAUUCUGUGUGCACGAUGAAGUUUUUCGGAAUGUAAAGUGCUUUCAGUUGGGAAGAAAGAAAUGACGGUACCAACAGAAGAAGUGACGGCUAAAUACGUGCCAGCAGCCGCGGUAAUACGUAUGUCACGAGCGUUAUCCGGAUUUAUUGGGCGUAAAGCGCGUCUAGGUGGUUAUGUAAGUCUGAUGUGAAAAUGCAGGGCUCAACUCUGUAUUGCGUUGGAAACUGUGUAACUAGAGUACUGGAGAGGUAAGCGGAACUACAAGUGUAGAGGUGAAAUUCGUAGAUAUUUGUAGGAAUGCCGAUGGGGAAGCCAGCUUACUGGACAGAUACUGACGCUAAAGCGCGAAAGCGUGGGUAGCAAACAGG